AUUGAACGCUGGCGGCAGGCUUAACACAUGCAAGUCGAGCGAGCGGCGGACGGGUGAGUAACGUCUGGGAAACUGCCUGAUGGAGGGGGAUAACUACUGGAAACGGUAGCUAAUACCGCAUACCAUCAGAUGUGCCUAGAUGGGAUUAGCUAGUAGGUGGGGUAAUGGCUCACCGAGGCGACGAACCCUAGCUGGUCUGAGAGGAUGACCAGCCACACUGGAACUGAGACACGGUCCAGCCACCUACGGGCAGAAGCAGUGGGGAAUAUUGCACAAUGGGCGCAAGCCUGAUGCAGCAAUGCCGCGUGUGUGAAGAAGGCGUUCGGGUUGUAAAGCACUUUCAGCGAGGAGGCGUUACUCGCAGAAGAAGCACCGGCUAACUACGUGCCAGCAGCCGCGGUAAUUC
rnacentral:rRNA from 1 species